AAGCACCGGCUAACUCCGUGCCAGCAGCCGCGGUAAUACGGAGGGUGCGAGCGUUAAUCGGAAUUACUGGGCGUAAAGGGUGCGUAGGUGGUUUAUUAAGUUAUCUGUGAAAUUCCUGGGCUUAACCUGGGCAGGUCAGAUAAGACUGGUAGACUGGAGUAUAGGAGAGGGUAGUGGAAUUUCCGGUGUAGCGGUGAAAUGCGUAGAGAUCGGAAGGAACACCAGUGGCGAAGGCGGCUACCUGGCCUAAUACUGACACUGAGGCACGAAAGCGUGGGGAGCAAACAGGAUUAGAUACCCUGGUAGUCCACGCUGUAAACGAUGUCAACU
rnacentral:rRNA from 1 species